GGCGCUGUGGCUUAGUUGUUCAAAGUGCCUGUCUAGUAAACAGGAGAUCCUGGGUUAGAAUCCCAGCAGUGCCU
rfam:Danio rerio chromosome 4, GRCz11 reference primary assembly.